UUAGAACGUCGUGAGACAGUUCGGUCCCUAUCUGCCGUGGGCGCUGGAGAACUGAGGGGGGCUGCUCCUAGUACGAGAGGACCGGAGUGGACGCAUCACUGGUGUUCGGGUUGUCAUGCCAAUGGCACUGCCCGGUAGCUAAAUGCGGAAGAGAUAAGUGCUGAAAGCAUCUAAGCACGAAACUUGCCCCGAGAUGAGUUCUCCCUGAGACUUUAGGUCUCCUGAAGGAACGUUGAAGACGACGACGUUGAUAGGCCGGGUGUGUAAGCGCAGCGAUGCGUUGAGCUAACCGGUACUAAUGAACCGUGAGGCUUAACCUUACAACGCCGAAG
rnacentral:rRNA from 1 species